AACGAACGCUGGCGGUAUGCUUAACACAUGCAAGUCGAACGCGAAAGGCUCUUCGGAGCCAAGUAGAGUGGCGCACAGGUGAGUAACACGUAGAUAAUCUGCCCUGAAGUUCGGGACAACCUUUCGAAAGGAGGGCUAAUACCGGAUAAUACCUGAGACCUUAUGGUUUUGGGUUAAAAGAUUUUUCGCUUUGGGAUGAGUCUGCGUAACAUUGGCUAGUUGGUGGGGUAAGAGCUCACCAAGGCGACGAUGUUUAGCGGGUCUGAGAGGAUGAUCCGCCACACUGGAACUGAGACACGGUCCAG
rnacentral:rRNA from 1 species